AUUGAACGCUAGCGGCAGGCCUUACACAUGCAAGUCGAACGAGCGGCGGACGGGUGAGUAAUGUCUGGGGAUCUGCCCGAUAGAGGGGGAUAACUACUGGAAACGGUGGCUAAUACCGCAUACUAUCGGAUGUACCCAUAUGGGAUUAGCUAGUGGGUGGGGUAAAGGCACACCAAGGCCACGAUCUCUAGCUGGUCUGAGAGGAGGACCAGCCACACUGGGACUGAGAAACGGCCCAGACUCCUACGGGAGUCAGCAGUGGGGAAUAUUGCAAAAUGGGCGCAAGCCUGAUGCAGCCAUGCCGCGUGUAUGAUGAAGGCCUUAGGGUUGUAAAGUACUUGCAGCGGGGAGGCGUUACCUGCAGAAUAAGCACCGGCUAACUCCGUGCCAGCAGCCGCGGUAAUAC
rnacentral:rRNA from 1 species